rnacentral:rRNA from 1 species
CAGUCGCCACGGUAAUACGUAGGUGGCAAGCGUUGUCCGGAAUUAUUGGGCGUAAAGGGCUCGCAGGCGGUUUCUUGAGUCUGAUGUGAAAGCCCACGGCUCAACCGGGGAGGGUCAUUGGAAACUGGGAAACUUGAGUGCAGAAGAGGAGAGUGGAAUUCCACGUGUAGCGGUGAAAUGCGUAGAGAUGUGGAGGAACACCAGUGGCGAAGGCGACUCUCUGGUCUGUAACUGACGCUGAGGAGCGAAAGCGUGGGGAGCGAACAGGAUUAGAUACCCCAGUAGUCCCUGUCUCUUAUAC